rnacentral:rRNA from 1 species
UACGAAGGGGGCUAGCGUUGUUCGGAAUUACUGGGCGUAAAGGGCGCGUAGGCGGUACUUCAAGUCAGGCGUGAAAGCCCCGGGCUCAACCUGGGAACCGCGCUUGAGACUGGAGAACUAGAGUUCGGGAGAGGAUGGUGGAAUUCCCAGUGUAGAGGUGAAAUUCGUAGAUAUUGGGAAGAACACCGAUGGCGAAGGCAGCCAGUCUGGACCGACACUGACGCUGAGGCGCGAAAGCGUGGGGAGCAAACAGGAUUAGAUACC